GUAAAAAUAGUAAGCAAAACGCGAGAGCGAGAGAGAGAGAGGAGAUCGGAGAGAUCUGUAAACAAAGACGCUCUCCCAAAUCCGCUUCCCUCCUCAACCCUUCGCCGAUCUCAGAGAGCUCGUUGCCUCGAUCCUUCCGUGAUCGCACGAUUCCAUUUCUUCGAUUCGUGUGAUCCCUCUGGAGAUCCGAUACUUUGAAGCUCCUCGCUCCUCCUCCUCAAAACAAUAUUUUUUCUUCUCGUCCUGGUCCCGGCGGACACCGGAAUUGGGCAUUCUAGGUGGAUAAAAAGGGAGGAGGUAGGGUUUUCUCGAUGGCUUCCGCGAAGGUCAUGUCCAAUUCAGUAGCCUCAUCGCGCAAGCAAGGGCACCUCGAAUUGGGCAAGAAGAAGUUGGAGGAGUUCCGGAAGAAAAAAGCUGCUAAACAGGUUGCAUCUGUUGGACACUUGCAAUCAACUGAUGUAGACCAAUAUGAAAAUUCUUCUAAAACUAAUCAGCAUAAGGAAGAUGAUUCUUCAGGUACAGGUGGCACAAAUGUUGUCAAAACUUCUGGGGUUGUGAUAUCCUAUGAAGAUAAAGCAGUUAAUUCUUCCCAAAACAGCGAUGUUGAUUUGUCAACUAGGAUGCCUGUUAAUUCUACUGCCUGGAACUAUAACAAUCAUAUAUCACAUGGUAAUUCAGAGCAAGAAGCUGUUAAGGAUAAAGUCCUCAGAUUACCUGACAGCUCAACUUUUUCUGAAUCGGCUAAUGGUUAUUAUGACCACUGGAGAGAGAAAAAUGAGCUUAGUGGUAACGAGGAAUCAAAGGUUGGAUCAGCUGAUGGUUUUAAAGCAGAUCAGCAUAUUGCUUUUGAUCCAGAUAUCACAAAGCCAUAUAUUGAUGGGAAUAUCCAUGGUCCAGGGUUUCAUUUGCAUAAUGUUGAAUCAGGUGAUUUCGAGAACAGAGUUUCUUCCACAAGUCACAUGCAUGAUAGGGAUGUGUCAGGUGCUUAUAAUAUGAGCACUCUUCCUGAAAAGUCGGAAAGUAUUUCUGCAAUGCACACCUUGGGUUAUCCUAGUGCAUCAACCAAGAUAUAUGAUGUGGAGAAACCUUUUCAAAUCAGCAACAAAGAUAAUCAUGGUACUGCUAGUGCGGGAGGGAGGAUAGCUGAUGCCAUUAGUCGUCGCCUUAAUGUUGACAAUUCAACUUGGCGUGCACCAGAAUCUUUUUCUGCAGGCUUCAGUUCUGGUUUUGGAAGAUCCUCUGGUGAAACUUUUCCUGUGACUAGCUAUGGAACCACAUUUGGUCGAUCACGUCCAUCAUUUCUCGACUCACUUGGUGUGGCCAGAGUUUCUUCAAUAUCUAACGUUUCACAUGGCGACCCUGAUAGUAUUGUUACACCUGUAUCACUUGACAAUUCAAAAUUCCAGAACACAGAGGCUCAGUUAUCAGCUUCCCUGCAGCAGCCAUCUGCAGAUAACUCCAUGGAACAGUCACUUAGGUUGACAACUCUUGAUUCCACUAGAGAAAAGCAAUCAUCUUUUAGCACCAUGGGAUUCUUUGAUGAGGAGCAACAGCCGAAGCAGAGAGCAACAGAUCAAGAUAUCCAGAGGGAUCAUGAGUUUCCAUCUUUGAAAAAGGACGAAGAUUUUGCUUCUUUGGAGCAGCAUAUUGAGGAUUUAACUAAAGAAAAGUUCUCGUUGCAACGGGCUUUACAGACAGCUCAAACACUAGCAGAGUCCUUAGCUGCAGAGAAUUCAUCAUUAACUGAUAGCUUUAACCAACAGGGGAAAGUAGUUAAUCAGUUAAAAUCUGACAUGGAAAGGUUGCAGGAGGAGAUCAAGGCUCAAAUGCUUGCUUUCGAGUCUGUUAAGUUGGAGUAUACAAAUGCGCAGCUGGAAUGCAAUGCUGCUGAUGAAAGAGCCAAACUACUUGCAUCUGAAGUUAUUAGCUUAGAAGAGAAGGCACUAAGAUUGAGGUCAAACGAGCUAAAGCUGGAAAAGCAAUUGGAGAACUUGAAUUCUGAGAUUACAUCAUUCAAGCGUAAAGUUUCUGUUCUAGAGAAAGAGCGCCAAGAUUUUCAGUCUACUGUUGAUGCCCUACAAGAAGAGAAUAAAGUGUUGCAGUCUAUGCUACGAAAGGCAUCAACAGAUGGAAAAACUAAGCAUACAACGGAAAUUUCUUCUAUUAAACAAGAUGCAUCUACAUCCACAGAUGAUUUAGAUGUCAAAGAUAAUGAGAACAAUGCUCAAGGAACAAUGAUGAACAGUGGCAUAAAUGCAAUGCAAGAUGUCGGACCAUCUGCAGCUCUGUCUACUGUCACAGCCUCUUUCCUUGAUGAUAGAAGAAUGGAUCUUCCAGAUGCACACAUUGAUCUGCCACACGACCAGCUCAGAAUGAUUGAGAACAUCAAGGCUUUGAUAUCUGAGUUAGCAGUGGAGAAGGAAGAGCUGGUACAAGCAUUGAGAAUUGAGUCAUCAAAUUGUUCCAAACUCAAGGAUUUGAACAAAGGUUUGUCCCAGAAACUUGAGGCGCAAACACAGAGGUUAGAACUCUUGACCUCUCAAAGAAUGGCUAACGAGAAUGUCUUGGCAAAACCAAUUGAUAUGCAUAGCACACAUGAAACGAUGGAAUAUGCUGAUGAGGGUGAUGAGGUGGUUGAGAGAGUGUUGGGUUGGAUAAUGAAGCUCUUCCCUGGAGGUCCAGCGAAGCGUCGGACCAGCAAGCUUCUCUGAUGUGGAGAAUGAUGGAAUUGUUGAACCGUCUUUACUAUCUCCUAGUGUUAUAUUGAGGCACCAAGAAGUGCACAAGGGAUGAAAACAAGAGACAAGAAAUGCACCAAGUUGCUGAGCCCAAGUGUCCAAACAAGAGACGAGAAAGCUGAACCUCCUUCAAUUUAUCUACUCAGUGAAUGAAGAAGGAACGAGCCACCCACACUUGUUUUUGUCGCGUCUCAAAGGAGUCAACCACCACCAGCAUUUGAAGUCAAGAUUGUGCAGACUCUUUUCAUGGCCUCAUGUGACUCGCAAUGGAGGUCGGCCAUGCUUUGCCAUGGCUCAUACCGUGAGCCAAAGGUAGCGGUGACAUCAAGCCACAAAAAAGCCUGCUUCCUGCCCAAUAAUAAUGUGUGCCGAGUUCACAUGUGACUCGCCGAGUUUCUCGUCUUGUUCCUCGCCAUCACUGAACUAAAGCUUGUCCUGCUGCGUCGGACAUUGAAGACGCAGUCGGAGUUAAAACUGUUGGGUCCAUGUGUAACUAGAAGUGAGAAAACAAUAACUUUGGUGCUCUACCCGAUCAUACAUACAUAUUAAUUCCUCAA